CCUACGGGUGGCAGCAGUGGGGAAUAUUGCACAAUGGGGGAAACCCUGAUGCAGCGACGCCGCGUGAGUGAAGAAGUAUUUCGGUAUGUAAAGCUCUAUCAGCAGGGAAGAAAAGGACGGUACCUGAUUAAGAAGCCCCGGCUAACUACGUACCAGCAGCCGCGGUAAUACGUAGGGGGCCAGCGUUAUCCGGAUUUACUGGGUUUAACGGGAGCGUAGACGGCAGCACAAGUCUGGAGUGAAAUGCCGGGGCUUAACCACGGAACUGCUUUGGAAACUGUGCAGCUUGAGUGCAGGGGAGGUAAGCGGAAGUCCUAGUGUAGCGGUGAAAUGCGUAGAUAGUAGGAGGAACUCCAGUGGCGAAGGCGGCUUACUGGACUGUAACUGACGUUGAGGCUCGAAAGCGUGGGGAGCAAACAGGAUUAGAUACCCGAGUAGUC
rnacentral:rRNA from 1 species